AGGCUAGGGUUCCGAUUUCGUGAUUUUUGAAAGCUUUUGCCGCGAGCUGCGGCAAUCUAUACCUUAACGGCUUCGUUCUUUAAUAUCUUCACGUAGCCUCGUCGUAUCGCCGAACCGACUUCGCCAACGCGUCAGAAAACCUAGCAAUUAGGUUUAUACAUGAUCAAUUUAGAUCAAAACCCCUCACAAGCAAAACCCCUCUUUUGAUGCCCUAAGAUGCAACUAUGCAAGAAUUCAUCAUUUGAUCUCUAAAUUCGAGCAUCAACCAUCUAUUUAGCAUCCAGGAGUUUCACUAAACCCAUUUCUAAGGCAUACAAAUCACUACUUAGCAAUCUAUCAUUGUUGCUAUCAAAGCUUACCUCUCAAACCCAAGCUCUCUUCAAGCCAAUGGUGAAGAAAAGAAAGCUUCACCUCUAAGCAAGCUUUUUCUUCUCCAAAUCCACCUCCAACUCCUCUCUUUGGUGGAGAAAUUGCUAGAGAGAGAGAGAGAGAUCUUUCUCUUUGGUUGCAAGUGUGAGGGAAUGAGAGAAAAGGCUCAAUCCUUCAUAUAUAUAUGUAUAUAGGAAACUUGACCUCCAAGUUUCAUAGGAAACUUGACCUCCAAGUUAUCCAAGAACACUAUUCACAUUCAGUUUAGCAGCACGGUACAAAUUUUUUUCAUCUGCCCUUCUGAACGUCCGUUUGAGCUCAAAUUUGGCAGUCAUGCUCGGUUUUAUUUAACUUACUGAAAGAAAUUUUAAUCUUUCAGUUUCGACCCCGUUUGGUCACCGAAAACUCUACCGAACUGUAAUCUUUAUCAGAUAACUGUCGGAUUUUAUUUUCUACCUUCUAGGUGUCAGAAUGGGCUGAAACUUUAAAUCUAGUCUCACAAAAAUAAUUCUGACUUAUCCUCCAGUUUUCAAAAUUUUCUGACACUGUGCAUUUUCUGCCAAUUUAUCUGCCCCGUUUCACACAGAAAAUUCUAAAUAUUCUGUUUUCGCUUUGAUUUCAGCACGGAUCAUUCCAGACUUAUAUUUCACUUCUCUAAAUCCUAUAAAAAUAGUAUCUCAUACUAUUUUUAUUUAUUUUCACUUUUAUAUUUAAAAUUCGGUAUGUUACAUUCCACCGCAAUCUCACCGGAACCAUUUAAAUGUACAUCGUAACUUCAUAGUUUUAGAAGUCAGGUACCUUACAUCCUCCCCUCCUUAAAAAGAGUUUCGUCCUCGAAACUCAAAUCUCAUCUAAAUUCGAGUUUUCGAGCAUCUGGGGGUAAUAAUGCACUUUUGCACUCCGGAGUAGUCUUUUUCUCAUCGGAACUAUCCAAAGGCCCACUACAGAGGAUGUGAGGCUAGAUUCACUCACAUUUGCUAAACGUAACUUCGAAAGUGCAUUACGGGCCUCCGUCAUUCUUGGUGGUAGCGCAAAUCGAAACUCAACGACUCUGUGCGCUCCAACACCAUUCAUCAUCUGACAUGCAAGGACUCUUCUUUGCAUUUACCUUCCCCCUUCAGGACAUUCCGACUCGAUCACAAACAUUGCUCAACAGCAAUAUGAUUGGUGUAUCACCCAAUCACGAGUGUUCUAACCACAUUCGGACCUUGCUCUACCGCGAGACGGCCUACCCCGGCAUAUCUCGACUCUUAAUCCACAAGAGAGCAUUGUCCACAAUUCCAUGUGGCUAUCCUGUAUUCAAGUGUCUCCAAGAGACCACUUUUCCUUACCUCUCAAUUGCCACUUCUAACCUUAAAUCGCUCUACUACGAGAUAGCCUACCCCGGCACAUCUCGAUUUCCAACCCUCAAGAGAGCACUAUCUUCAAGUUCUCCAACUUCUCCAACAUGACCCAGCCCGCCUUGGCAAAUUUCAGACUCGGGGACCGGUCUUGCCCUACCUGGGACCGGUUGCCCCGCGCUGCGCAACCCUCCGCCUCGGGGCAACUGGUCCCUCCCUCCUAGGACCGGUCCCCGAGAGCAAGCUCGCGCAGACCAUGUUCGGGAACCAGUCCCUCCCGCCAGGGACCGAUCCCCGAGAGCAAAUCUGCCAAGUGCAAAUUCUUGCACCAUUUGCUCUCGCGGACUCCAUUGUAAUGCACUUUUGGUGCAUUCAACGUCUUCGGCUUUUACGAAGCACUCCCAUUUGACAAUUAGUCGAUCUUGAGCGAAGUUCAACUCUCGUAUUUCGAAAAUUCACUUCCUUGCUCCCAACUCCUCCACAGAGUUAUCGGCUAAACCGAUUACGUCAGCUUUCACAGGUGGACCAACGGUCGUAAUACCACGUCGGCAUACUCCUAAACCUGUCGUAACUACGCACAGCGUCUCUCGCUCACAUCGUAGAUCCAAUCAUAACCGGGUGAACUUCUCACUUGGGAAUUCGCACGCACUCCAAACCACGUCAAGUUCUCGGGUUGGGGUCACAUUCAAACUUGGUGUAUCCUCGAUCACAUGAUCCAAUGCGUGGCAUUCCACGCUCCCGGGUCUAAGCUCGGACUACCGUCCUGACCAAAACUCUGCCCUACCCAUAGGUACCGGGCCGCUGCCACUCGCAGCCGACUGUGCCUACCCAAUGGGCCCAGGCUUCACAAUCCACAAAUGGUCCAGGCACGGGUUGUCCCCAAGCACUACACGCCGUCGUCGUCCUACAUGACAUGUUCUACCGAGCCACAUAUACUACUGUCGGCUCCUACUCGGCUACUCUCUCAACAGUGAUUCUACUCUCACUGUUCGAUCUACCGAAAUAAUAUUCGAGAUGCUCAAGCCACUCGGGUAUUCGCAUGUCACUGCGCAACUCUCGCAAUUCGAUACUCACUGCCUUGAGAGUCGCUUCACCGUUUCGUCUGUACCACGAGUCUCACUUAUCGCCCAACAAUCAUCACCGGCAAGUUGCUAGUGCCAUCCAACUCUCUACCUGCUGCCGGCAGAACUCCAGCCAACUGCCUCGGAGCCACUGGGGCGAAUGUAACAAACAGUGCAGGCGACGCUCCCUCUGGGCAGUAACGGCUUAUAUGCCCUGCCCGACCACACCUGAAGCACCGUUCCGCCUUAUGCUCACAAUUUCCUGCGCGAUGCUCUCCACCGCAGAUCACACAUCGCUUAGGUCCAUAGCCAUCGGACCACCUCACCCGAUACUUCGGGGGCUUCUGGGAACUAAACUGUCCCCCCGAACUACCGCCAGGUCGUUUCUUUCCCUUAUCCUCUUCGAACGCCUUGCGCUCGCAUUCGACCUCCUCAGCCAUCGCAUCGAGAAUCGCAGAACCCGAAGCCGCCAGAGGUACACCAACCGACGAGGAAUGUACCGCCACCGGAACCGCUGCCAGGCCCUCACCCUCAGCCGCAUCAAGCGCGCGAAUCGAGGGCGCGGGCGGACCACGACCUUCAAUUGCCGUCGCGGCCAUCGCCGCUACCAGCCGCUCCAAACGCUCCUGGAGCCGCUCGAUCAAACUCCCUUGGCGUUGAACCACGCCAAUUAGUGCAGUCAUCUGCGCCCGCAGUUCCUGGACCUCACUUGAUCCAGCUUGUUCUGGCACCUCAGCAGGCUGUGCCGGAACGGAUCUACGCACGUAGUGUCUCAUUGGUGCCAUUAGCUCCUGAAACACUACAACUUGGUUAAUCACCUUAACCCAUUAAUCUCGUCGCAACUACUAGACAACGCGACUCAACUCCACCAUAAGCAGACGUACACCAUUGUAUUAGUCCUAACUCUUAGCGUCAUGUUGUCGGCCGCCAACACAAACUCCUCGAGCUCGGAACUAACACCGCUCGGAUCUAUCUCUAGUCACAUUAGAGAUCUAUACUCGAUCCGACCCAAUCGAAUUCUUCCUCAAUCGAUUCAGGUUUACGUUUCUCUCACGUACCUAUACAAUCCUAGGGUUCACCAUCCUAAGGUCUCUUAGGUCCAUCCUAGACUCUCUCUUUACUUGCUGUUAAUUGCUCUGAUACCAACACUAUCUGUCACGCCCCGCCCCGAAUCCAAUACCAAUUUGACACGGUUUGGGCACGCCGGACGGACCGCCGAACGGACAGCACCUUUCCUGUCCACCCAAGGCUAAGUAACCAGAUCAUGUACAGUUAAGCGCCCAGGGAAUGCUUAAAUAACAGACAUGAUCGAUACGAUGCACACAAGUGCACAAUAACUAAGAGCAAGAACCACAAGUGAAUGUACAAGUGUAUAAAGAGAGAUAGUCUAACUAUCACAAUCAUUCAACAUUUACAUCAUUUGAAUAUAUUACAUUUUCAUCUUCCAAAAUAUAAGUACAUGUUUUCUUCAAAAUACAAGUUGCCUUCCCAUAACUAACCAAACAUCAACUAGUACACGAGGGUGCUCUAAUGCAUAAAGGAAAAGCUACUAACUAGGCUCACUUAGGGCGCUAUGCCGUUGCCGCUCUCCUCGCUUGGCUCGCCUCUGCGUGUACCUGUACCCCAAAACCACAUGGGGUGAGAACUAUAUAAAUAUAGUUCCCAGUGGGUUCAGCCGCCGACGCCGCCGGUUUUCCCACUAGGUCCAAGCUGGCACAGAUAGAUAGAUAGAAAGGUAGAUAGAAAUAAACUGCUACUAUAUCUACUAUGCCAUCAAAUGCAAGGAAUGCAUGGAACAUCAUUUAGCAAUAACCUACUAUCAUGCUAAUAUGCUUCAAUAAUGUAAUAAAUACAACUGCAACAUAGUUAUGCUGUCUACUAUGUCUAAUCAUGGCAUGAAUGCAAUCCACUUAUACUAUUCAUGUUUCAACCCAAUCGACUAGGCCAACUUGCCUAAGAUCUCAAAUCUCAAAGGUCCUAGAAAAAGAGCUACCCCGCUCCUUGCCCGACUCAAUCUCGAAGGUCCUAGGCAAAGAGUUACCCCGCUCCUCGCCCGACUCAGUCUCGCUCUACUAGGUACGAACUGCUACAUAGUAAUGGAAUAUACACAUGCUACUAUGCCUCUGUAAUCAUGGAAUGCAUGAACAUAGGAAUGAUAUUCUACUAAUCAUGAUACUAUUCUUAAACAAUAAUGGAAAUGAGCUACUACAUCGUGAUGUAUCUACAACAUGCAAUGUCAACUCAAGGUAUGAAUGCAAAUCUGCUAUGCCAUUCAUAUUCUUUACCAAAUCUGCUUGGAAAUGAGCUACUACAUAGUGAUGUAUCUGCACAUGCUACUAUGCCUCAAUAAUCCGAAUGAACGAGCUACUACAUAGUGCGUCGUGCAACUAUGCCUCGAUAGUAUCCAAUCUCAUGGCUAACCCGAAGGUUGCUACCCCGGGGUCAACCCUGACUCACUCUCAAUCUCAUAGGUGAGGAGAAUCUACACUCGCACACCGAGACCGUCUGCGGGACAACUACGUCUGCCCCUAGUGAAGUACUCCGGAGACCCGUGCCUUGGUGGAGCAACCACCGACAAGCAAAAAUAGACUAGUGAGUAUGAUCCAAUCCUCACAAGAGGAUACCCUAUCUACCAGGGUCAAUGUGCCUCUGUUGCACAAUACCAAAUGCAUAUUCAAUGCCUCAAUUACACUAAUGCCAAAUGCAUAAUGUCUACAACAUGACAAUCGGAAAAAUCUACUAUCCCUAGGUUCAAAUGCCAUAGUGUUCCACUAUACUAGAUUUGAUGCCACUCGUUUAUGUCAUGAUGUUAUAUGUGUCUUAAUACACUAAAUCGACAUGCCACUCGUCAAUAUUAUAGUGUUCUUAUUACACUAGUCCAAAUGCCACUCGUCUAGGCCAAUUACAUGUCCAAGUUCAUCAUCAUUCUUGUCACUAUAGGAUUCUUGUCACAAGACCCAAUCCUCAUGCAACCUAAGAUCAAGUGUCAAGCCUACAAUGCUACACAACCUAGGAAACAUGCAAGGAAUGGAAAUGUAAUCAUCUACUAAUCCACAUCUACUAAUCCUAUAAUGCAUAAUAUAUCAACAUAUAGGAAUAUGAUCAACAUAUAGAACUUAGACAUAAAAGGAAGCUCAGUUGCUUCGGGAUGGACACCCCCCACCUUUUAUCGCUAUCACGAGGCUAGGGUUCCGAUUUCGUAAUUUUUGGAGGCUUUCGCCGCGAGCUGCGGCAAUCUGUACCUUAACGGCUUUGUUCUUUAAUAUCUUCACGUAGCCUCGUUGUAUCGCCGAACCGACUUCGCAAACGCGUAUGAAAACCUAGCAAUUAGGUUUAUACAUGAUCAAUUUAGAUCAAAACCCCUCACAAGCAAAACCCCUCUUUUGAUGCCCUAAGAUGCAACUAUGCAAGAAUUCAUUAUUUGAUCUUUAAAUUCGAGCAUCAACCAUCUAUUUAGCAUCCAAGAGUUUCACUAAACCCAUUUCUAAGGCAUACAAAUCACUACUUAGCAAUCUACCANCAUUGUUGCUAUCAAAGCUUACCUCUCAAACCCAAGCUCUCUUCAAGCCAAUGGUGAAGAAAAGAAAGCUUCACCUCUAAGCAAGCUUUUUCUUCUCCAAAUCCACCUCCAACUCCUCUCUUUGGUGGAGAAAUUGCAAGAGAGAGAGAGAUCUUUCCCUUUGGUUGCAAGUGUGAGGGAAUGAGAGAAAAGGCUCAAUCCUUCAUAUAUAUAUAUGUAUAUAGGAAACUUGACCUCCAAGUUACAUAGGAAACUUGACCUCCACGUUAUCCAAGAACACUAUUCACAUUCAGUUUAGCAGCACGGUACAGAUAUUUUUCGUUUGCCCUUCUGAACGUCCGUUUGAGCUCAAAUUUGG
rnacentral:lncRNA from 1 species